rnacentral:rRNA from 1 species
UGGGGAAUUUUGCGCAAUGGGCGCAAGCCUGACGCAGCGACGCCGCGUGCGGGAGGAAGGCCCUCGGGCCGUAAACCGCUUUCGGCAGGGAAGAAACCUGACUGUACCUGCAGAAGAAGCCCCGGCUAACUACGUGCCAGCAGCCGCGGUAACACGUAGGGGGCGAGCGUUGUCCGGAUUCAUUGGGCGUAAAGGGCGCGCAGGCGGCCCGGCAAGCGGUGCCUCUAAGCCCGGGGCUCAACCCCGGGACGGGCGCCGAACUUCCGGGCUCGAGCGCGGUAGAGGAGGACGGAAUUCCCGGUGUAGCGGUGGAAUGCGCAGAUAUCGGGAGGAACACCGAUGGCGAAGGCAGUCCUCUGGGCCGUCGCUGACGCUGAGGCGCGAAAGCCGGGGGAGCGAACAGG